rnacentral:rRNA from 1 species
AAGCAAUAAGUAAUCCACCUGGGGAGUACGGCCGCAAGGCUGAAACUCAAAGGAAUUGACGGGGGCCCGCACAAGCGGAGGAACAUGUGGUUUAAUUCGAUGAUACGCGAGGAACCUUACCUGGGCUUAAAUGUAGAGUGCAUGAGGUGGAAACACUUCUUUCCUUCGGGACUCUCUGCAAGGUGCUGCAUGGUUGUCGUCAGCUCGUGCCGUGAGGUGUCGGGUUAAGUCCCAUAACGAGCGCAACCCUUAUCGUUAGUUGCCAGCGGGUAAAGCCGGGGACUCUAGCGAAACUGCCACCGUAAGGUGAGAGGAAGGUGGGGAUGACGUCAAAUCAGCACGGCCCUUAUGUCCAGGGCUACACACGUGUUACAAUGGCCGGCACAGAGGGCAGCUACCUGGUGACAGGAUGCUAAUCUCGAAAACCGGUCUCA